AACAGGAUUUAGGGUAGGGCCAAACAGCCACUUGACCCACUUGAGAGAUUGAGUAAUAAAAUCAGCAAGCUCCAGGCAACAUUUUGGACUGCAGUGACUCAGCCAUGUGGUGGGAAGGAAGGGACAUGUAGGUGUCCUUAGGACCCUCCUCUUCCUGAGAUGAGGCAAUGGGGGCGGCUGAUCUUGCAGCAGGCACUCGCUCCAUGACCUCUACUCUGCUCUCUACAGAAAACCAAAGUGGGGUUGGGGAGGCCAGGAGCUGCCAUCAAGCAGGUGAGCUCCCAGAGCAGAAUGGUCUCUGGCCCUUCGCACAGUAGCCUUUCAUCUACCCCAUGAGGAAAUUCCAGGUUGGGCUAUAGGGUGAAAGCUCUGACCUCCUCAUUCUCUGAAACCAAUCUUUUUUUCAUUACAUCUUUGAGUUGCCGUUGUUCCCUCUUUCCUCUCAGAAUAGCAAUCACAACACACGCUUAAAAAAAAAGUCAUGAAGAAAAUCUUUCUGAAGUGGCCUGA